UAUGAUGCUGGAGAUAGAAUGUAG
rnacentral:piRNA from 1 species